GUAUAGGCGAUAGAAAUUUUACCCUCGCGCAAUACAUACAGUACUGUAAGGGAAAGAUGAAAAAACUGACCAAGCACAAAACAGCAAGGACAUACCCCUGUACCUUCUGCAUAAUGACCUAACUAGAAAUAACUUCGAAAAGAAAACUAUAGCCAAAAUCCCCAAAACCAGACGAGCUACCCAAAAACAGCUAAAAGAGCACACCCAUCUAUGUAGCAAAAUAGUGGGAAGAUUUAUGGGCAGCAGUGACAAACCUACCGAGCCUGGUGAUAGCUGGUUAUCCAAGAUAGAAUCUCAGUUCAACCUCAAAUUUACCUACAGAAUCACCUAAUCCCCUUGUAAAUUUAAUUGUUAGUCUAAAUAGGGGACAGCUCUUUAGACACUAGGAAAAAAACCUUACACAGAGAGUAAAAAAACCUAGCUUCCACAGUUGGCCUAAAAGCAGCCACCAAUUAAGAAAGCAUUCAAGCGCAACAUCCAAACACCUAAAAAUCCCAGACGUAUCACCAAACUCCUCACACUCCAUUGGAUUAAUCUAUUAUUUGAUAGAAGCAAUAAUAUUAAUAUAAGUAGCAUGAACAAUUUUCUCCACUGCAUAAGCCUACAUCAGAUCGAAAUACUUCACUGAUAACAGUCUAAUAAUAAAAAAUAACUAAUAAAAUCAUUACUACUCGUACUGUUAACCCAACACAAGCAUGCUCUUAAGGAAAGGUUAAGAUAGUAAAAGGAACUCGGCAAAUCUAACCCCACCUGUUUACCAAAAACAUCACCUCUAGUAUUACCAGUAUUAGAGGCACAGCCUGCCCAGUGACACGUGUUUAACCGCCACGGUACCCUGACUGUGCAAAGGUAGCAUAAUCACUUGUUCCUUAAAUAGGGACUUGUAUGAAUGGCACCAUGAGGGUUUAACUGUCUCUUAUUUUUAACCAGUGAAAUUGACCUGCCUGUGAAGAGAUGGGCAUAAAACAAUAAGACGAGAAGAUCCUAUGAAGCUUCAGUUUACUAAUGCAAUAAAAACUAUAUAGACCUAUGGACUUUAAACUACUUUACCUGCAUUAAAAAUUUUGGUUGGGGUGACCUUGGAGCAUAACCCAACCUCCGAACAACCUAUGCCAAGUCUACACCAGCCAAAGCGAAUCAACACACAAUUGACCCAAUAACUUGACCAACGGAACAAGUUACCCUAGGGAUAACAACACAAUCCUAUUCUAGAGUCCAUAUCGAGAAUAGGGUUUAUGACCUUGAUGUUGGAUCAGGACAUCCUAAUGGUGCAGCAGCUAUCAAGGGUUCGUUUGUUCAACAAUUAAAGUCCUACGUGAUCUGAGUUCAGACUGGAGCAAUCCAGGUCGGUUUCUAUCUAUUUUACAUUUCUCCCUAUACGA
rnacentral:rRNA from 1 species